CCUUUGUACACACCGCCCGUCGCUACUACCGAUUGAAUGGCUCAGUGAGGCCUUCGGACUGGAUUAGGGAGGUCGGCAACGACCACCCAGAAUCGGAAAGUUCGUCAAACUUGGUCAUUUAGAGG
rnacentral:rRNA from 1 species